rnacentral:lncRNA from 1 species
AGGAAGACAGCCACACCUCACUCUGCAGCAUGGUAUAAGUUUGCUAGGUAAGAACAGCAAGGUAGGAACAGGGUUCUGCGUAGAGAACGGAGCUUGUUUUAUACGUGGAGCCAGGUGUGUGGGUGGUCAGUACAUUCGCCAUGCACUCUGGAGAGAAGGGUACUGGGAGGAUAAAAGCCAACAGGACUGAAAGGCUGGGGAAGCUGUGCAAGGCUGGUGGUGGGUUUGUUAAGCACAGAAGUAAUAUGAGUUUUAGUGCUCUCAUCUAGAAUGAGCCUAACACCAAUCAAGCCGGAGGUAGUGAGACACGUGAUCAGUGGAGUGAUGAUCCUUGUAGAAUUUGACAGUUAGGGUCAGAGAUCUUUCAUAUGCAAAUAUGACCAGUUCCUUACACACACAGCUCAACCAGAUGUUUAAUAUUUAAUCACUACAUUCAAAUGCAAGGGGCAUUACUUCAAAGCUUCAAAGCAUAGUAAGGUUUUGGGAAGGAUUUGAUCAGGAACACCAGUGGCACCAGCAGGAGACUUGUCUCCUCUAUCAACAGUUAUCAGAGCUUAAUGAUGUCCCAUCCGCUUUCGACCAGCAAGAAUGACACGACCACCAG